rnacentral:rRNA from 1 species
GUAAUGUCUGGGAAACUGCCUGAUGGAGGGGGAUAACUACUGGAAACGGUGGCUAAUACCGCAUAACGUCGCAAGACCAAAGAGGGGGACCUUCGGGCCUCUUGCCAUCAGAUGUGCCCAGAUGGGAUUAGCUAGUUGGUGAGGUAACGGCUCACCAAGGCGACGAUCCCUAGCUGGUCUGAGAGGAUGACCAGCCACACUGGAACUGAGACACGGUCCAGACUCCUACGGGAGGCAGCAGUGGGGAAUAUUGCACAAUGGGCGCAAGCCUGAUGCAGCCAUGCCGCGUGUAUGAAGAAGGCCUUCGGGUUGUAAAGUACUUUCAGCGGGGAGGAAGGUGUUGUGGUUAAUAACCACAGCAAUUGACGUUACCCGCAGAAGAAGCACCGGCUAACUCCGUGCCAGCAGCCGCGGUAAUACGGAGGGUGCAAGCGUUAAUCGGAAUUACUGGGCGUAAAGCGCACGCAGGCGGUCUGUCAAGUCGGAUGUGAAAUCCCCGGGCUCAACCUGGGAACUGCAUUCGAAACUGGCAGGCUUGAGUCUUGUAGAGGGGGGUAGAAUUCCAGGUGUAGCGGUGAAAUGCGUAGAGAUCUGGAGGAAUACCGGUGGCGAAGGCGGCCCCCUGGACAAAGACUGACGCUCAGGUGCGAAAGCGUGGGGAGCAAACAGGAUUAGAUACCCUGGUAGUCCACGCCGUAAACGAUGUCUACUUGGAGGUUGUGCCCUUGAGGCGUGGCUUCCGGAGCUAACGCGUUAAGUAGACCGCCUGGGGAGUACGGCCGCAAGGUUAAAACUCAAAUGAAUUGACGGGGGCCCGCACAAGCGGUGGAGCAUGUGGUUUAAUUCGAUGCAACGCGAAGAACCUUACCUGGUCUUGACAUCCACAGAAGAAUCCAGAGAUGGAUUUGUGCCUUCGGGAACUGUGAGACAGGUGCUGCAUGGCUGUCGUCAGCUCGUGUUGUGAAAUGUUGGGUUAAGUCCCGCAACGAGCGCAACCCUUAUCCUUUGUUGCCAGCGGUCCGGCCGGGAACUCAAAGGAGACUGCCAGUGAUAAACUGGAGGAAGGUGGGGAUGACGUCAAGUCAUCAUGGCCCUUACGACCAGGGCUACACACGUGCUACAAUGGCGCAUACAAAGAGAAGCGACCUCGCGAGAGCAAGCGGACCUCAUAAAGUGCGUCGUAGUCCGGAUUGGAGUCUGCAACUCGACUCCAUGAAGUCGGAAUCGCUAGUAAUCGUGGAUCAGAAUGCCACGGUGAAUACGUUCCCGGGCCUUGUACACACCGCCCGUCACACCAUGGGAGUGGGUUGCAAAAGAAGUAGGUAGCUUAACCUUCGGGAGGGCGCUUACCACUUUGUGAUUCAUGACUGGGGUGAAGUCGUAACAAGGUAACCGUAGGGGAACCUGCGGUUGGA